CCUACGGGUGGCAGCAGUGGGGAAUAUUGGGCAAUGGGCGCAAGCCUGACCCAGCAACGCCGCGUGAAGGAAGAAGGCUCUCGGGUUGUUAACCUUUUUUUUUAGGGACGAAGCAAGUGACGGUACCUGAGGAAUAAGCCACGGCUAACUACGUGCCAGCAGCCGCGGUAAUACGGAGGGCGCAAGCGUUAUCCGGAUUUAAUGGGUGUAAAGGGCGUGUAGGCGGGAAAGCAAGUCAGAUGUGAAAACCAUUGGCUCAACCUGUGGACUGCAGUUGAAACUGGUUUUCUUGAGUACUGGAGAGGCAGACGGAAUUCGUGGUGUAGCGGUGAAAUGCAUAGAUAUUAGGAAGAACUCCGGUGGCGAAGGCAGUCUGCUAAACAGCAACUGACGCUGAGGCGCGAAAGCGUGGGGAGCAAACAGGAUUAGAUACCCGAGUAGUC
rnacentral:rRNA from 1 species